rnacentral:rRNA from 1 species
AACGAACGCUGGCGGCAGGCCUAACACAUGCAAGUCGAGCGGGGACUUCGGUCCUAGCGGCGGACGGGUGAGUAACGCGUGGGAACGUGCCCUUUGCUUCGGAAUAGCCCCUGGAAACGGGGAGUAAUACCGGAUGUGCUCGAGAGAGGAAAGAUUUUUCGGCAAAGGAUCGGCCCCGCGUUGGAUUAGGUAGUUGGUGGGGUAAUGGCCUACCAAGCCGACGAUCCAUAGCUGGUUUGAGAGGAUGAUCAGCCACACUGGGACUGAGACACGGCCCAGACUCCUACGGGAGGCAGCAGUGGGGAAUAUUGGACAAUGGGGGGCAACCCUGAUCCAGCCAUGCCGCGUGAGUGAAGAAGGCC